AUGAGGAGGCCAAGGCAAGCACCCCUCGUGGUGGCCUUGGAUAUGGAGGCGGAAGGCCUCUCCGGUGAGAUCCCACCCUGCAUCUCCAACCUCACUUCUUUGGUAAGUAUCCACUUGCCAAACAACACCCUCUCCGGCCAUAUCCCACCGGAACUUGGCCGGCUCUCUAGACUCCGGUACCUCAACCUCAGCUUCAACACACUCACCGGAUCGAUCCCGUUCACUUUUGGCGUGCUUCACAACCUUUCUUCGCUAGACCUGGGCGGUAAUGGGCUUUCCGGCGUGAUUCCGCCGCUGCUCGGGAGCUCGCCGGCUCUAGAGCACAUCAGCCUCUCUGACAAUUUUCUUGAUGGAGAAAUCCCACUGUCGCUGGCGAAUAGUUCCUCGCUUCGUUACCUUUCACUUGACAACAACAGCAUUGAAGGGGCGAUCCCUGCGUCCCUUUUCAACUCCUCAACCAUCACCGAGAUACACCUUUGGCACAACAAUCUGUCCGGUGCAAUUCCACCUUUCACCAUGUUCCCUUCAAAACUCACCGACCUAGAUCUCUCCCAAAACAGUCUUUCCGAAGUCGUGCCGUCGUCGGUGGCAAACCUCUCGUCCCUUACCUUGCUCGACCUCUCGCACAACCAGUUGCAAGGACCCAUUCCUGAUUUGGGUAAGCUUGCCGGCCUACAAAUCCUCGGUCUCUCGUAUAACAGUCUGUCAGGAAUAGUGCCACCCUCCAUUUACAAUAUGUCUUCAUUGAAUUAUCUUACGCUAGCCAGCAACAGUCUUGGAGGAACGCUGCCUUCCGAUAUGGGUAUCACACUUCCUAACCUCCAAACACUGAGCAUGGCUAAUAAUCAUUUUGUGGGUGACAUCCCUGCCUCCCUACAAAAUGCCUCUAGCAUGAUUUAUAUCCAUAUGGCCAACAACUCUCUGACUGGUGUGGUUCCUUCAUUCAGCUCCAUGAAAAUUUUGGAGUACGUAAUGUUGUACUCAAAUCAUCUAGAGGCUGGAGACUGGACAUUCUUCUCCUCUUUGGCGAAUUGUACCCAACUGCUGAAACUGAACGUCGGUGAAAACAACUUGAGUGGGGAUUUGCCAGCAAAUUCCAUAGCAAAUCUCCUCAAAAGCUUGACCGCUCUAACCCUUCGGUCAAACAACAUCUCUGGCACCAUCCCCUUGGAGAUUGGAAACCUUUCUAGUCUUUCCAUGCUCUAUCUUGAUACUAAUCUUUUCAUGGGGCCUAUACCUUUCACCCUUGGUCAGCUACACAAUCUAGUUCAACUUAGCCUGUCAAAAAACAAAUUUUCAGGAGAGAUACCCCCUUCCAUUGGGGAUCUACAUCAACUGGAAGAGCUUUAUUUGCAAGAAAAUCGGUUGAGUGGAAGCAUACCUGAAAGUCUAGCUAGCUGUCAGAACUUGGUUGCAUUAAACCUUUCAUGUAAUAUUCUUGGUGGAAGCAUAAGCGGACACGUGUUGGGCAGCUUGAACCAACUGAGCUGGCUACUUGAUUUAUCACACAAUCAACUCGCAAUGUCCUUACCACUAGAGAUUGGUAGCUUGAUAAACCUUGGAUCCUUGAACAUCUCUCACAACAAUAUUACAGGCAUAAUCCCGUCCACACUUGGCAACUGUGUCUAG
rnacentral:rRNA from 1 species